AGAGCUCUGUGAAAGGGGUGGCUAGUCUGUGCAUCUUAAACCAAGAUGUGGGGAAACAGAGCUAGAGAAAGCAACAGACAGGAGAUGUGUCAGGCGCUGGAAGGAGGUCAGAAACUCCAGCUCAUAUGGAAAACUGACCCAGAACAUCAGCAUCAUAGCCAGGCCACCUGGGAUGUUCAUAUCCUGAAGUCUGAGGAUUUGGAGAAAAUUAAAGGAUUUACCUGAAGACAAAGCAUUCUAUUCAUCAGAGACUGGACAAGAGUUACUCUUGCUUUGGGCAAUUAAAGAUGAUGUUGUCAUGGAAACAGUUGAUCUUGCUUUCAUUCAUUGGCUGCUUAGGAGGU
rnacentral:lncRNA from 1 species